rnacentral:tRNA from 1 species
UGGCUGAGUGGUAAAGCACUUGGCUUCCGAACCGAGAGGUCCCGGGUUCGAAUCCUGG